UAAAGCGGGUGAAAAGCCCGCUCGCCGGAAGACCAAGGGUUCCUGUCCAAAGUUAAUCGGGGCAGGGUGAGUCGACCCCUAAGGCUAGGCCGAAAGGCGUAGUCGAUGGGAAACAGGUUAAUAUUCCCGUACUUGGUGUUACUGCGAAGGGGGGACGGAGAAGGCUAUGUUGGCCGGGCGCCGGUUGUCCCGGUUUAAGCGUGUAGGUGUGUGUUCCAGGUAAAUCCGGUUCACUUUAACAC
rnacentral:rRNA from 1 species